AAAGAUAUAGUGAUUUUUCGAAUUCUGCUAUAUUUUAGGCACUAUUGAUGCUAGAAACCUGAAAUUUGGUACGCGGGUUGACAACUCAAGUCUAACGAGCUAUGGUAGAUAUGUGUCCGCCCACAGGGGGCGUGGCAAAACGCAAGUUUAUAUCUCCUAAAGUAUAAUAGCUAUAAGUUUCAAAUUUGGAAAAUUAUAGUUUUUGAACAAAUGGCUUUUAUAUUUGCAUCUAAAGUCAAAAAUUGCAUUUUUGUUUCUUGACAAACUUUAUAUUGUAAAACUUUACAAAUUCAGAAAUGCUGCCAUGACUACGAGUUGCUAAAAACCUUUUAAUGACUUGGAAAUUAUGUAUCGAUACGUCGGAUAUCUAACAGAGCGAUAUGGACAAAGUCGGGAGUACCAUUCUGACAAUUCCAGAAUCAAGUAGGACAGACAGGAAAUACUCAAAGAACAUAUUAUCCCAAUCAAUGAGCUAGCAUAUUUGUAAAUUAGAAACCACAAAACAUCAGCACUUUAAUGCGUUUAUUCUGACAAUCAAUUUAAUUGCAUUCGAAAAGCUUAUUCCUCGAAUUUCGGAGCUGCACUCUUCGUCUUAGAAUAAUCUCUUAUGGGAGAGUAAAACUGAAAUUAGUCAAAAGAAAAAAUAACAAAUAUACUGAAAUAUAAAUGUGAAUUGAAUUUAGUACCUUAUAUUGCUUGUCCUUAUAUUCUUGCCAUGGUUCAGGAUUGGAUGAGCGAUUCCAUGUAACAUCCGGAUUCCUUGUAGCUAGACGAGUCAUAUAAUAAACGGCUCCAAUCGCUCCAGCAGCCACGCAAACGUAUAGUGGAAUCAACUAAAUAUUAAUAAAAAAAAAAAAAGAAAAAAAUUCCCUUCAACUUAAUAUGGUUAUGUAAUAUAUGAAGAAAAUGAAAUUACUUACCGCUGGAUUUUUUUUAAGACUUUGUAAUCCGAGCCCCUGCAUGAUGUAGGUGUACUAGUUAGAGAUAAAUAUUUACAAAAUGUACAUAUAUUAAAUUAAAUACAUUGUCUUACUUCUUUACUUUUAA